AGUGAACGCUGGCGGCAGGCCUAACACAUGCAAGUCGAGCGGCAGCGGGUCCUUCGGGAUGCCGGCGAGCGGCGGACGGGUGAGGAAUACAUCGGAAUCUGCCCUGGCGUGGGGGAUAACCUAGGGAAACUUAGGCUAAUACCGCAUACGACCUACGGGGGAAAGCGGGGGAUCGCAAGACCUCGCGCGACAGGAUGAGCCGAUGUCCGAUUGGCUAGUUGGCGGGGUAAAGGCCCACCAAGGCGACGAUCGGUAGCUGGUCUGAGAGGAUGAUCAGCCACACUGGGACUGAGACAAGGCCCCGACUCCUACGGGAGGCAGCAGUGGGGAAUAUUGGCCAAUGGGCGCAAGCCUGAUCCAGCCAUGCCGCGUGGGUGAAGAAGGCCUUCGGGUUGUAAAGCCCUUUUGUCCGGGAAGAAAUCGUCUGGGCUAAUACCCCGGGCGGAUGACGGUACCGGAAGAAUAAGCACCGGCUAACUUCGUG
rnacentral:rRNA from 1 species